GAUGAACGCUGGCGGCGUGCCUAAUACAUGCAAGUCGAGCGAACGGACGAGAAGCUUGCUUCUCUGAUGUUAGCGGCGGACGGGUGAGUAACACGUGGAUAACCUACCUAUAAGACUGGGAUAACUUCGGGAAACCGGAGCUAAUACCGGAUAAUAUUUUGAACCGCAUGGUUCAAAAGUGAAAGACGGUCUUGCUGUCACUUAUAGAUGGAUCCGCGCUGCAUUAGCUAGUUGGUAAGGUAACGGCUUACCAAGGCAACGAUGCAUAGCCGACCUGAGAGGGUGAUCGGCCACACUGGAACUGAGACACGGUCCAGACUCCUACGGGAGGCAGCAGUAGGGAAUCUUCCGCAAUGGGCGAAAGCCUGACGGAGCAACGCCGCGUGAGUGAUGAAGGUCUUCGGAUCGUAAAACUCUGUUAUUAGGGAAGAACAUAUGUGUAAGUAACUGUGCACAUCUUGACGGUACCUAAUCAGAAAGCCACGGCUAACUACGUGCCAGCAGCCGCGGUAAUACGUAGGUGGCAAGCGUUAUCCGGAAUUAUUGGGCGUAAAGCGCGCGUAGGCGGUUUUUUAAGUCUGAUGUGAAAGCCCACGGCUCAACCGUGGAGGGUCAUUGGAAACUGGAAAACUUGAGUGCAGAAGAGGAAAGUGGAAUUCCAUGUGUAGCGGUGAAAUGCGCAGAGAUAUGGAGGAACACCAGUGGCGAAGGCGACUUUCUGGUCUGUAACUGACCCUGAUGUGCGAAAGCGUGGGGAUCAAACAGGAUUAGAUACCCUGGUAGUCCACGCCGUAAACGAUGAGUGCUAAGUGUUAGGGGGUUUCCGCCCCUUAGUGCUGCAGCUAACGCAUUAAGCACUCCGCCUGGGGAGUACGACCGCAAGGUUGAAACUCAAAGGAAUUGACGGGGACCCGCACAAGCGGUGGAGCAUGUGGUUUAAUUCGAAGCAACGCGAAGAACCUUACCAAAUCUUGACAUCCUUUGACAACUCUAGAGAUAGAGCCUUCCCCUUCGGGGGACAAAGUGACAGGUGGUGCAUGGUUGUCGUCAGCUCGUGUCGUGAGAUGUUGGGUUAAGUCCCGCAACGAGCGCAACCCUUAAGCUUAGUUGCCAUCAUUAAGUUGGGCACUCUAAGUUGACUGCCGGUGACAAACCGGAGGAAGGUGGGGAUGACGUCAAAUCAUCAUGCCCCUUAUGAUUUGGGCUACACACGUGCUACAAUGGACAAUACAAAGGGCAGCGAAACCGCGAGGUCAAGCAAAUCCCAUAAAGUUGUUCUCAGUUCGGAUUGUAGUCUGCAACUCGACUACAUGAAGCUGGAAUCGCUAGUAAUCGUAGAUCAGCAUGCUACGGUGAAUACGUUCCCGGGUCU
rnacentral:rRNA from 1 species